AGCUCAUGUUCUGAAUCACUCCUGACCACGCCAUGACUUUAGUGAUAAAGAUUCUGCUCUGUGGGUCAAGCCAGGGGUGGUCUGAAGCCUUUUAUGACUGGUUAUGACCCUUUACCUUCCCUUCUUCAAACACUCCCUACAGGGCAAGCUAUCUAACGAUGUGCUUAGAAGCUCCAGAGUAGAAACCUCUUCCACCAGAAGAUUGCCUCUAGAGACAAGAGUUAACUUACAACCCAUGGUAUGCCCGCUAUGAAACUCUCUCCCACCUGGAGAAUAUCUGAAGACAAGGGUCACUUUUAUAACCUAGUUCUGACUGCAAAGGCGCCAGUUCAACCACCCAGUGGCACCAAAGCAAGUCAUGGGCCCCCCACCUGCUUGCCGUUUCCUCUGUAUGCCAUUCAUGCCAAGUCCCUCCUUUAAAAGCCCCUGCUUUGUGCCUUAGAAGCAAGGUGUUUCCCUUAAAUCUGGAAGCCUG
rnacentral:lncRNA from 10 species